GAUGAACGCUGGCGGCGUGCCUAAUACAUGCAAGUCGAGCGAACAGACGAGGAGCUUGCUCCUCUGACGUUAGCGGCGGACGGGUGAGUAACACGUGGAUAACCUACCUAUAAGACUGGGAUAACUUCGGGAAACCGGAGCUAAUACCGGAUAAUAUAUUGAACCGCAUGGUUCAAUAGUGAAAGACGGUUUUGCUGUCACUUAUAGAUGGAUCCGCGCCGCAUUAGCUAGUUGGUAAGGUAACGGCUUACCAAGGCGACGAUGCGUAGCCGACCUGAGAGGGUGAUCGGCCACACUGGGACUGAGACACGGUCCAGACUCCUACGGGAGGCAGCAGUAGGGAAUCUUCCGCAAUGGGCGAAAGCCUGACGGAGCAACGCCGCGUGAGUGAUGAAGGUCUUCGGAUCGUAAAACUCUGUUAUUAGGGAAGAACAAAUGUGUAAGUAACUAUGCACGUCUUGACGGUACCUAAUCAGAAAGCCACGGCUAACUACGUG
rnacentral:rRNA from 1 species